rfam:Oryza nivara chromosome 6, whole genome shotgun sequence.
AAUAAGUGUAUUUUUACACUGUUUAUAUCCAACAUUUGACCGUUCGUCUUAUUAAAAAAAUUUUAGGAUUAGUAUUUUUAUUAUUAUUAGAUGAUAAAAUAUGAAUAAUACUUUAUGUAUGACUAUUUUUUUAAUUUUUUCAUAUUUUUUUCAAAUAAGACGGAAGGUCAAACGUUGUACACGGAUAUCCACGGCUGCACUUAUU